rnacentral:lncRNA from 1 species
GACCGUAACUGGAAUCGACGCCGGCAAAAAGCCGGUGUAUGUGCAAGCGCCCUAAGGAUGAGAGAACAGUGGUUUUCCCCGAUUAAACUGGACUCGGAGACAACUUAAAACAAAUAAAAGACUAGUUAUAAACUAUCUUACCUCCUUUAAUUUUUAAGCGCAAAGAAAUUACAUGGGACGAUAACUACCUUUAAAACAUAAGUGCUACAGAAUGAGAUCCAACACUUUCUGAGGACUCGGAGAACGCUGAUUGAUGUAAUGCUUCAUCCGAAAUCAGUUCUUUUUGAUAUUUUCGUUUUUUUAUAACGACCGCACCACAGAUGAAUGAACACAAACAAUUGCUUUGAUUCCUUAACGUGUCACUCCGCUGUUCUUCCCUGAUGAAUGUGUUGCUCCCGAUGUCCAGCCAACGACUGCUGAUUUCUCCUCAUUCUUUAUUCCUGGUCACUCGUCUUAUUGACUUCCCUUUUUUCUGGGGAAGAAAGAGAUCUCCUUUCUUCAAAUGUGUUAUCUGGAAAAUGAUCAUAUUUCUCUAUAUUUUCUGUUGGAGGACCUCACUCAUUACAUCAUUGAAAAGUUAUAUGUAUGUAUUUCGACUGCUUCUCCUAUUGCGAGAGAAAUAUCUCAAUACAAAAC